rnacentral:rRNA from 1 species
UACGUAGGGGGCAAGCGUUGUCCGGAUUUAUUGGGCGUAAAGAGCGUGUAGGCGGCCAUACAGGUCCGUUGUGAAAACUGGAGGCUUAACCUCCAGACGUCGAUGGAAACCGUAUGACUAGAGUCCGGAAGAGGAGAGUGGAAUUCCUGGUGUAGCGGUGAAAUGCGCAGAUAUCAGGAAGAACACCCGUGGCUAAGGCGGCUCUCUAGUACGGUACUGACGCUGAGACGCGAAAGCGUGGGGAGCGAACAGG